rnacentral:rRNA from 1 species
UGAGGAAUAUUGGGCAAUGCCCGCAAGGGUGACCCAGCAACGCCGCGUGGAGGAUGAAUGUCGUAAGAUUGUAAACUACUGUUAGAGGGGAAGAAUAGUACCGGUUGGACCGGUAUAUGACUGUACCCUCAGAGAAAGCCCCGGCUAACUACGUGCCAGCAGCCGCGGUAAUACGUAGGGGGCAAGCGUUGUCCGGAUUUACUGGGUGUAAAGGGCGCGCAGGCGGGAUAAAAAGUCAGUGGUGAAAUCCUACAGCUUAACUGUAGAACUGCCUUUGAUACUUUUAUUCUUGAGUUCGGGAGAGAGAGACGGAAUUCCAGGUGUAGUGGUGAAAUACGUAGAUAUCUGGAAGAACACCAGUUGCGAAGGCGGUCUCUUGGUCCGACACUGACGCUGAGGCGCGAAAGCGUGGGGAGCAAACA